CAGGUGUGCUGGUAGUGAACGUGUGCUGCAGCAGGCCAGGCUUGGCAGCAUGGUGAAGGCCCAGAAGUCAAGUGGGAGGAAGAGCUCUCUCUGUCCCCGCAGACAGAGUGGUGGUCAGACAGAGAUGGAAGAAGGCCAAUUGGACACGCAGCAUUCACCAAGGGUACAGCCCCAAGACCUGUCCACUGGUCAAGCCCUACUUCAGACUCUAUCAGAGAACUGUGAUGAAAAUGACACAGCAAUGGACAUCCAGGAUAGGGAAGAUCCUGCCUACCAGCACCAGUCUCAUAUCAGGUCUCUAUGGAGGCCCAUUCCCCCUUUACUGCCUGAACCUGGGACUCACAGAAACAUAGCCGCUGAGACUAGGGACCAGAGCUGCCAGACGGAGGAUCAGCUUCUGCAGUCCAGCGCUAGAAGCAAAGGGCACAAUACAGGUUAUUGUGUGGAGCCUGGUGAUCCACCUCUGCUUCAGCAGCCUCUGCAGACCUCAAAGUCCGGGAUUCAGCAAAUAAUCG
rnacentral:lncRNA from 1 species